rnacentral:RNase_P_RNA from 1 species
GUCGGGGCUCCACAGGGCACGGUGCUGGCUAACGGCCAGGCAGGGCGACCUGACGGAAAGUGCAACAGAGAGCAGACCGCCGAUGGGGUCGCUCGCCUCGGCGGGUGGCUCACAGGCAAGGGUGAAACGGUGGUGUAAGAGACCACCAGCGUCCCGGGUGACCGGGGCGGCUCUGCAAACCCCACCGGGAGCAAGGCCAAGCGUUGGGAUGGACGGCCCGUCCGGAUCUUCGGAUCCACCCACUGGUAGGCCGCUGAGAUGGAUGGUCACCCAGGCGCCGCAAGGCGCUGGACAGAACCCCGCUUACAGGCCGACUCACCAC